rnacentral:rRNA from 1 species
AACGAACGCUGGCGGCAUGCCUAACACAUGCAAGUCGAACGAGACCUUCGGGCCUAGUGGCGCACGGGUGCGUAACGCGUGGGAACCUGCCCUUAGGUUCGGAAUAACUCCCCGAAAGGGGUGCUCAUACCGGAUAAUGUCUUCGCACCAAAGAUUUAUUGCGUUGGGAUGGGCCCGGGUUGGUUUAGCUAGUUGGUAGGGUAAAAGCCUACCAAGGCGACGAUCCAUAGCUGGUCUGAGAGGAUGAUCAGCCACGCUGGGACUGAGACACGGCCCAGACUCCUACGGGAGGCAGCAGUGGGGAGUAUUGGGCAAUGGGCGAAGGCCUGAUCCAGCAAUGCCGCGUAAGUGAUGAAUGCCUUAGGGUUGUAAAGCUCUUUUAGCCGGGAUGAUAAUGACAGUACCGGGAGAAUAAGCACCGGCUAACUCCGUG